rnacentral:rRNA from 1 species
UACAGAGGGUGCAAGCGUUGUUCGGAAUCAUUGGGCGUAAAGAGCAUGUAGGCGGUUUUGUAAGUCGGAUGUGAAAUCCCAGGGCUUAACCCUGGAACUGCAUCCGAUACUGCUUAACUAGAAUCCUGGAGAGGGUGGCGGAAUUCCGAGUGUAGAGGUGAAAUUCGUAGAUAUUCGGAGGAACACCAGAGGCGAAGGCGGCCACCUGGACAGUGAUUGACGCUGAGAUGCGAAAGCGUGGGUAGCAAAC